UACAGAGGGGGCAAGCGUUAUUCGGAAUUAUUGGGCGUAAAGGGCGCGUAGGCGGCUUGGCAAGUGGAAGGUGAAAUCCCUCGGCUUGACCGAGGAACUGCCCUCCAAACUGCUUCGCUUGAGACCGGGAGAGGUGAGUGGAAUUCCCAGUGUAGCGGUGAAAUGCGUAGAUAUUGGGAGGAACACCAGUGGCGAAGGCGGCUCACUGGACCGGUACUGACGCUGAUGCGCGAAAGCGUGGGGAGCAAACGGG
rnacentral:rRNA from 1 species